GCAUUGCACUCCAGCCUGGGCAACAGGAGCAAAACUCCGUCUCAAAAAAAAAAAAAAAAGAAAAAGAAAAAUGUUAUCUUUGCUUUUUCUAUCUGCCUGUUGUUAAAAUCUAACACCUUAGUCUGGGUCAUAGGCAUUUAUUGAGCAUCCAUGUUUCAGGCUCAUUACUUGUAUUAACUAAUGUGAUCUUUUCAACAAUCCUAGGAGGCAGGGGCAGUAUUAUCAUCUCCAUUUUACGAGGAGGAAAAGCAAGCAAUGUACCCAAGUUCCCACAGCUAAAAAGAAUUCUGUCUGUCCUCAGAGCUGUGCCCUGAAACCCUCUGCCCUGCUGAAGAAUGGAGAGGACUCCCCCACCAGCACCUCCACCUAGGACACAUGGGAACUGUGGGACUUGGAGCAAAGUUUUCAAGUCUCUGUGCCUUAGUUUCCUCACCUGUGCUGUUCUAGGCGCUGAGGAUGCAGCCGUGCACAAGACGGAUGAAAUCCCUGCCCUCAGGGGGCCGACAUUUGCGGAGUAAAUAAAGGAAAGGCCAACAUGAACAGCUGAUUUGGAUACCAUCAAGACACCUGAAAUUUUAGCAUGAGCCAGAUGCCAAGGAAGAGACUCCGGGAGGAUCCUGAGGACCCCCCGGUUGCAGCCAUGUCGAGGCUGAUGCUGAGGAGGACCCCAACUGUCACGAGAAACACCCGUCGAACACAGCCACCCAGCUGGAGACAGAUCAAGAAGCUGUCACAGAUGAUGGAAGAAAACCUGAGGAAAGCGGGACAACCACUCAGAAUGAGUAAUGGUAGCUAUGAUAGUGGUAAUCACCAUUGCCGUGAGUAUUCCUUAAAGAAGGGCUGACACAGAGAACAAUUAUACUUAUUAGGCAUAUUCAUCAAUCUUGGCUGGCAAUAAUGCCUGGAUGUAAUCACUCU
rnacentral:lncRNA from 1 species